AAUUUACUUUUUUGUUAUAAUAAAAAUGGUAUAAUUUCGGACGCGGGUUCAACUCCCGCCAGCUCCACCA
rnacentral:tRNA from 1 species